CGUGUGUUUGUUUUUGGCCUCUCACUGAUUUGCUCUCUCCUAUUUCUACUGCUGUUGCACAAGCUCAGCUGAGAUGCCCUCGCUCUCUCUCGUGUGUGUGUCACGCUUUUCCUGUCCCCACCCCCACCCUCCUCUCCCACGCUCUCUUUUCUGUUUUAUGAUUCAUUUGCCUUUUCGCUAUUUUCCUUUGUUGCUUUUAAUUACUGUCUAAAUAGUUACGAUGUGGAGAUCUACAAGUAUCUGAACAAUUCGUCCGAACGAGUCGUUAGUUGCUGGCUGGUUAUAUUCCAUUUUUAUUCGUCGCUGCUUCAGUGAGCAAAGCGAAAAGCUCCAAUGCACACACACAGACACACACAUGCACGGUCGCACCAAUACAUUGAAGCAAAUGAACUACUUUUAGACAAUUGAGCCGACUUUUUCACUGCUGAAAAACACAGUUAGGCUAUAUACAUUGGUCGUUUGAUAGUGUGUGAAUAUUUUCUUUCUUUUUUUUCACUUGGUCUAUGGACUAUAAAAAAUCACAUUUCGCGCAAAUCCCGAUUAUUAAAAGGUUCGUUUCGUUGGCCGGAGGAGUUCUUUAGCCACACACACUUAUCUUAUCGCAGAGGCACGCGGCUUUCGCAAUUUUUCGCACUCAUUUUACGUGGGGGUUUGGGUAUUGGUACUAAAUUAUAGCUCCUCCUCUGUAACUCUGACGCAAACGUCGUCAACUGACUACGACUACAACUAUACGAUAUACACCAACAAAAAACACAGCAAAACGCAGAAGACACCGAAAAACAAAGCUAAACAGGGCUCAGCAGCCAAAGAGCCACUUGGCCACUCAGCAACUGGAACUGGAGUGCCGGAGAGCGAGAGCGCGGAGUAUUCCAAAAGCACGGAAUCGCUUCGAGCAGCGACGUCGACAGCGGCAGCGGCGUCGGCCUUAAUACACCAACACACCAGCACAAGCACACGAUCAGUGGGCAGCUCUCUCCACUGGUGGAGCAGUACCACCACCAACACAGGGCCAAUGACUGUAUUUUUGAGCUGCCAUGCUGACUUCGGAAACGGCCACUUUGAUUUCUACACCGCGCCGUUAACCAUCUGGCAGCACUCUCCUAAGAGAGCGUGUUCCAAAAUCUAAGAGAACACAUUUUUUAUGAGAGAAAAACAACCAAAAAGAAUUAUUAUUACUGAAGUUAACUUGAAUUAUGAAUAUUUUCUUACGACUGCAUUUAACUUAACAAAAUAUAAACCAUUUUUUUGUUUUGCUUUUAUUUCAAAAAAUAUGUAUUUGUAUAAUAAACAAUUUAUCUAGUUUAUGUGAGUCACAAAAGUUUAGUUAACGAUAAAAACAAACUUUGAAUGAUUGUCUUCAAUGAAUAAAUAACUAAGUUACCAAAGCUCUAUUCUCCCUUUAAAAACAAGUAGUAUUUGUCUUACCUUCUAAUCUUACUCCCUGACUUUCAAUUCCCUGAAAAGUUCUAUAUUGAAAACCACGAAACUUAGAGCUACACAGAUUAGAGAAUGUUUAGCUAAACACUAUUUAUCCAGUCGUAUAUAAGUAAAGGGAGGACUAACCUUUA